rnacentral:rRNA from 1 species
GAUGAACGCUGGCGGCAUGCCUAAUACAUGCAAGUCGAGCGAACAGACGAGGAGUUUGCUCCUCUGACGUUAUCGGCGGACGGGUGAGUCCCACGUGGUUAACCUACCUAUAAGACUGGGAUACCUUUGCGAAACCGGAGCUACUACCGGAUAAUAUAUUGAACCGCAUGGUUCAAUCGUGAAAGUCGGUUUUGCUGUCACUUAUAGAUGGCUCAGCGCCGCAUGAGUUAGUUGGUAAGGUAACGGCUUAGCAAGGCAACGAUGCGUAGCCGACCCGAGAGGGACAACGGCCACACUGGAAGUGAGGCACAGCCCAGACACCUGCAGGGGGACGCGGUAGGGAAUCUUCCGCGAAGGGGGAGAGCCGGACGGUGCAACGCCGCCGGAAUGCUGAAGGAGUUCUGAUCGGAGAACUCUGUAAGUCUGGGAGAACAAAUGUGUAAGUACCUAGGCACAUCUUGACGGUACCUAGACAGAAAGCCACGGCUAACUACGUG